GCUUAACACAUGCAAGUCGAACGGAAAGGCCCUGCUUUUGUGGGGUGCUCGAGUGGCGAACGGGUGAGUAACACGUGAGUAACCUGCCCUUGACUUUGGGAUAACUUCAGGAAACUGGGGCUAAUACCGGAUAGGAGCUCCUGCUGCAUGGUGGGGGUUGGAAAGUUUCGGCGGUUGGGGAUGGACUCGCGGCUUAUCAGCUUGUUGGUGGGGUAGUGGCUUACCAAGGCUUUGACGGGUAGCCGGCCUGAGAGGGUGACCGGCCACAUUGGGACUGAGAUACGGCCCAGACUCCUACGGGAGGCAGCAGUGGGGAAUAUUGCACAAUGGGCGGAAGCCUGAUGCAGCAACGCCGCGUGCGGGAUGACGGCCUUCGGGUUGUAAACCGCUUUCGCCUGUGACGAAGCGUGAGUGACGGUAAUGGGUAAAGAAGCACCGGCUAACUACGUGCCAGCAGCCGCGGUGAUACGUAGGGUGCGAGCGUUGUCCGGAUUUAUUGGGCGUAAAGGGCUCGUAGGUGGUUGAUCGCGUCGGAAGUGUAAUCUUGGGGCUUAACCCUGAGCGUGCUUUCGAUACGGGUUGACUUGAGGAAGGUAGGGGAGAAUGGAAUUCCUGGUGGAGCGGUGGAAUGCGCAGAUAUCACGAGGAACACCAAUGGCGAAGGCGGUUCUCUGGGCCUUUCCUGACGCUGAGGAGCGAAAGCGUGGGGAGCGAACAGGCUUAGAUACCCUGGUAGUCCACGCUGUAAACGGUGGGUACUAGGUGUGGGGUCCAUUCCACGGGUUCCGUGCCGUAGCUAACGCUUUAAGUACCCCGCCUGGGGAGUACGGCCGCAAGGCUAAAACUCAAAGGAAUUGACGGGGCCCCGCACAAGCGGCGGAGCAUGCGGAUUAAUUCGAUGCAACGCGUAGAACCUUACCUGGGUUUGACAUGGAUCGGGAGUGCUCAGAGAUGGGUGUGCCUCUUUUGGGGUCGGUUCACAGGUGGUGCAUGGCUGUCGUCAGCUCGUGUCGUGAGAUGUUGGGUUAAGUCCCGCAACGAGCGCAACCCUUGUUCACUGUUGCCAGCACGUUAUGGUGGGGACUCAGUGGAGACCGCCGGGGUCAACUCGGAGGAAGGUGGGGAUGACGUCAAGUCAUCAUGCCCCUUAUGUCCAGGGCUUCACGCAUGCUACAAUGGCUGGUACAGAGAGUGGCGAGCCUGUGAGGGUGAGCGAAUCUCGGAAAGCCGGUCUCAGUUCGGAUUGGGGUCUGCAACUCGACCUCAUGAAGUCGGAGUCGCUAGUAAUCGCAGAUCAGCAACGCUGCGGUGAAUACGUUCCCGGGGCUUGUACACACCGCCCGUCAAGUCAUGAAAGUUGGUAACACCCGAAGCCGGUGGCCUAACCGUUGUGGGGGAGCCGUCGAAGGUGGGACUGGUGAUUAGGACUAAG
rnacentral:rRNA from 1 species